rnacentral:rRNA from 1 species
UACGGAGGGUGCAAGCGUUAAUCGGAAUUACUGGGCGUAAAGAGCGCGUAGGUGGUUUGUUAAGUCGGGUGUGAAAUCCCUGGGCUCAACCUGGGAACUGCAUUCGAUACUGGCAGGCUAGAGUACGAUAGAGGGGGGUAGAAUUCCCGGUGUAGCGGUGAAAUGCGUAGAUAUCGGGAGGAAUACCAGUGGCGAAGGCGACCCCCUGGAUUGAUACUGACGCUGAGGCGCGAAAGCGUGGGGAGCAAACAGG